GAUAAAUGCCGGCGGCGUGCCUAACACAUGCAAGUCGAACGGACCUUGCUCGACAGAGGUACUUGUACUGAAGAAGAGCGCUGGUUAGUGGCGGACGGGUGAGUAACACGUGGGUAAUUAACCUUCUAGACUGGGAUAACAUUGGGAAACUGGUGCUCAUACCGGAUAAGAUUUUUUUGUGGCAUCACAAAGGGAUGAAAAGAGGCCUCUCCAUGGAAGCUCCUGCUAGAAGACAAGCCCGCGGCUGAUUAGCUAGUUGGUGAGGUAAUGGCUAACCAAGGCGACGAUCAGUAGCCGGCCUGAGAGGGUGAACGGCCACACUGGGACUGAGACACGGCCCAGACUCCUACGGGAGGCAGCAGUGGGGAAUAUUGCGCAAUGGGGGAAACCCUGACGCAGCAACGCCGCGUGAAUGAGGAAGGCCUUCGGGUUGUAAAGUUCUGUCAAUUGGGAAGAAACCUCUGAGGUCAAUAGCCUUAGAGAUGACGGUACCUAAGAAGGAAGCUCCGGCUAACUACGUGCCAGCCGCCGCCGUAA
rnacentral:rRNA from 1 species